rnacentral:rRNA from 1 species
AUUGAACGCUGGCGGCAUGCUUUACACAUGCAAGUCGAACGGUAACAGGCCUUCGGGUGCUGACGAGUGGCGAAUGGGUGAGUAAUGCAUCGGAACGUACCCAGAGGUGGGGGAUAACGCAGCGAAAGCUGUGCUAAUACCGCAUGUGAUCUGAGGAUGAAAGCGGGGGACCGAGCAGCAAUGUUUGGCCUCGCGCCUUUGGAGCGGCCGAUGUCGGAUUAGCUAGUUGGUGGGGUAAAGGCCUACCAAGGCGACGAUCCGUAGCUGGUCUGAGAGGACGACCAGCCACACUGGGACUGAGACACGGCCCAGACUCCUACGGGAGGCAGCAGUGGGGAAUUAUGGACAAUGGGCGCAAGCCUGAUCCAGCAAUGCCGCGUGCGGGAAGAAGGCCUUCGGGUUGUAAACCGCUUUUGGCAGGAACGAAACGGUGUCCGCUAAUACCGGGCGCUAAUGACGGUACCUGCAGAAUAAGCACCGGCUAACUACGUG